rnacentral:lncRNA from 1 species
GUGGGUAUCUUCUCUACAUGACCUGGCGAGAAUACGCCUAAAUUGGUCUUCGCUGUCAGAAGAUAACCCGGUUGAAGCUCUUCAAGAUCUCCCAAAUCUGAUGGAGCUGCAGUUGCUUGAUGCAUACACUGGAACCCAGUUGGAGUUUCACAAGGGAAAAUUUCAGAAGCUUAAGAUAUUAGACCUUGUGCAAUUGAAACUGAGGUUUAUCAGAAUGGAAGAUGGAACAUUGCCCUGCCUGCAAAAGCUGAUAAUAAGGAAAUGCAGCGAGCUGGAGCGGGUCCCUGUUGGUAUCGACGACCUCAUUCAUCUCCAAGAGCUGCUCCUCUGCGAUAUGCCUGAGAAAUUCGUGACCCAGCUGAAGAAAAAAGGCGGUGAACUUCGCCAUCUCCUUCACCGUAUUUCACAUAUUGGUUCAUACAAAGAGGGCAAGUUGGUGGAAGAUCUUUCAUGACCGAUGGGUACAAGAAUCUGGUCCGUAUAACAUAAUGGAUUCCUUAAAAUGUAUUGAUGUUGGAUUUCUAUUUCUUUACUAGCAUUCCUGCAUUUUCCUAUAGUUACUAUAUAUGGUGCAAUAGCAUUUGUACGCAGAUCAGCUUUAGUUGUGUGUUCGGAACUCUCAUUGUUGAGAUGAUUUCUGUAAGGUUGAUUGUUUUUUACCUUUUUUUUUUUCCUGUAAAAAGAAAGUUAAUUGUUGAAUGCAUCUAGUUAUAUUUUCUCAAAAGUUUUUAUUAAUUUUGAAUUUUUAGUAUUUUGAAUAACGUAUUAUCAUGAGUGCAAGGGCAUAGAAUAUGACCUCUAGUACCUCAAAAUUAAGAAGAAAUUAAUUCUAGAAAUACCUCAAUCUAAAACACAUAUAACAAAGAAAAGGAGAAGAAUGUGGCAGAGAAGGCAAUCCAGAUGGCACCUAUUUUAGAUAGCCCAAAGAAUGUGGUAGGCAGGGCAACAAGUGCCAACAUUAUGAAGAAUUUUCACCAUUGGAAAACAUUUCAAAAAUCCUAUUAAACAAGGAGGAGAGCUUCCAACAUUUUCAAAUGCCCAAAAACAAUUUUUCGAUUAAAUCAAUUUAGGAAACAAAGGAGCAAAAUGACAUUUGAAUGCCUAGGAAUGUUUGAACAAAAUGUUCUAACAAUCUCUCAUGUGACAAUUUUGUGAUAAAAUAUAAAGAUAUAACAAUUUUCAUGUGACUCGUAAAAGCCUCAUUGAACCCAAAAAUAAAGAUAGGAUUGGGUUAUGACCAAGUAUAAAUGUUUGUCGUGUUGGACUUGGCCCAAAAAUCUUAGACGAGCUUGGCUUGAGUUCUAGAAAUAUUGGCAUCCAUGGUACAAUUUUAUGCAAAUAUUGGAAGAAAUAUUGAUAUUGAUGAAAAUUUGGUAAAAAAAAUAAAAUCAUAAAAAUGGAUUACAUCUAUAUGAUUUUGGAGGAAAGUUUAAUAAAAGAUAAUAUAGUUUAUAAUACAUGUAUUAAACUUGUCACUAUCAAACUUUGACCAGUCAAACUGGUUUGUAUCUGGGAGCUAGGGGGGCUGCACUAGGCCUUUUGGAAAAAGGUCGGAAUGGGUUGCCCACCAUACUUCCAAACCAACCAUUUGGCAUGUCACUUGUUAUAUUAAUUAAUGACCUAUAAUAAAUAUAUUGGUUAAUUAUUCAGGAUAUAGUCAAAUUCCAGGUUUAUUUACUGUAAAAAUACAUUAAAGAUUACAAAUGAUAAAAUAUAAAGUUAAUGAAAUUGUGUACCCCGUAUUUCGGCUCAAUGCGUUUUCCACUCGAAUGGCGAGCUCUCGAUUUUUAUUUUAAAAAAAAUGAUUUAUAUUGAUUAAGAAAAUGACUUGGAGUUGCCACUUAUUUUUGUUUUAUUUUUUGAAGGGUAAACAAAAUAAGAAAGAAAACCUUAAGUGUGACUCCUUAUUUGGAAAAUGUGAUAUGCGAAAAACCGAAUCGGGUUCGGGGGUCAGGUUACUUAUUAGGAAGGUACGGUAAAGACCGUAGCACCCCUCUAAGUCCCUAAAACGGGUCUCUACUAAUAAAAUGAAGCUGAUAUGACAAUUGAUGAGAAAAUAAAUGAAUACUCGAUUUGAUCAUGCACACAUGAGUAUCAGAAUAUACAUAGAGAAUAACCAAAGUGGAAGUGGAUGCGUACCUGAUCAGCAAAUGGCAACGCGCUAUCACAAAUUAGGGUUAGUGCAUAGUAAUGAACAUAAAGUAUAUCACUCAUAUCACCCAACUAGAUAAAGGAGCACCAAUAUCAUGUAUGGUAUUUCAUUCAAUUCCAUUUUUAUUUUAAAGGAAAUUUAUUUGAUGUCGGGCCCCCACCAUAGCCCGUUUAUUUUGCAUGGACUAAUUCCAUAAAUUCCAUCAUUUGGAAUUACAGAAUUUGACUUUUGUUUAUUUCAAAACAAUUUAAAAUGAGAAAUUAUAUGGAAAAUGGGAGUCUUGGGACCUAAAAAUAAAUCUAAGGAUGAAAAUUUGAAAAACAAAAUUGUUUGAAGGAUUUGGAAAUUGGAAAAUUAUUUAAGAAAAUAAGAAUUUAAAAAAUAGUAAUCAUUUGAGAGCUAAGGGUGUGAGAAACCACUUAUGAAAACAGAAUAACGAUGGAGAAGUGGGAACGUCGGCCGGACAGAAUUCCGGAUGUGAGAUAUCCGGAGAAGGUUGAACGUCGGCGGGACAGAAUUCCGGAUGUGAGAUAUCCGGGUGAAAUUUCGGCGGAGAAGAAUUCCGGAUGUGAGAUAUCCGGAGAAGGUGGAACAUCGGCUGGACAGAAUUCCGGAUGUGAGAUAUCCAGGUGGAAUGUCGGCGGGGAAGAAUUCUGGAUGUGAGACAUCCGGAUAAGGCAGAAUGUUGGCCAGACAGAAUUCCGAAUGUGAGACGUCUGGGUGGAAUGAGUGAGAAUUUCUGUCCGGGUGGAAUGAGCGGUGCCACGUAUUGCGAGGGGCUGUCUGCGUGUCUAAGGGAGAAGGAGCCACGCGACAAUUUUUAGGGAGGAUCCCACAUACACAUGGGUAUUGAUGAUGAGUUAAACGAGCAUGAAAGGUGAGAAUAUGGUAGUGAUUAAUUCCCCUUCUUUCCACAAAUUCAAAUACUAGCUUCCUACAUCAUCUUGAGACAUCACCUCCCGGUAUGAGAUGCGCGGGGGUUUACGCAUGAUGAAGAUAAACGGGAAUAGGAGUGGAGUGAUGGAUGGGGGCGUGGACAUGUUGGAUAAAACGAUGAAUAAUAAGCAAGAAUGGGUAUGGGGAUGCUGAUGAGGUGGGUUUUGCUGCCAUGACAACUACUCCAGAUUUCCUAGGAUCUCCUUCAAGCAGGGAUGAGAAAAUGGAUGCGUACCAUGGACGGAUAUCAAGAGUAGAGGAGGAUAACAAAACAGAGCACAAAGAGUAGAUACAAGAAAAUGAGCCCGACAAGCUAUGCUUCAUAUUAUACCCACAGGCUUAGACGAUGGUGAGUAAGAUUAAAUGAGUAUCAGAUGAAAGGUAAAACGUGGUUACAAAAAUAUCUCAUGGAGAAAUCAAAACCAAAGCAAACUAAACCACUACAAAAUCAUUAGCAAAAAUAUGAACGUAUUCACUCCCAAUCAACAAACAUCAUCCGAGAAUCAGUAAAAACAAAGUAGAAAAGCACACCAUUAGAAGCUGAUGAAGAAUACACAAUAAAUGUACCUCAAAAUAACUCUCUCCAGCUAGGUGGGCAAGAAAUCGGACAGCUAUCCUUCCUCUCAAGCAACCAGCCAAGGAAAUCCCCCUUUCCCACUAGUCCUCUCAAGCUAAACUCCCCCCAGCUUCUCUUCUGUUUUCUCCUCCUUUCUUCUUCCUUUUUUCUUUUUAGAAAACCUCCUUUAUUUUUCGGAUUUGCCUUCCCAACGAUCUCUGCUGCAGCUACCUUUUCUACCCCACCUCUUCUGCAGCCACCUUUUCUGUCCCAAUUCUUCUGCAGCCGCCUAACGGCCUGCGGGACUCCCCUCCAGAAAGUUUCUCCACGUGUCAAAGUCCUACCGCAGCUUCAAAAAGCGAGGUUGAUUCCUUAUGGCCACUAAGGAUGUGACACGUGGCCCGCUGGGAUAGUGACACCUGGCUAAAAAUGUGACCUGCAAAAACAAAUAGAGAAAAAGUGACCCAUACCUAAACAUAUUAAUACACAUUUAAUCUAUCUAUGUUAUAUAUAAAAGUCUAUAGACUCAUAGGUGUUUGUAUUCUUUUAUGUUCUUAAACUGCAUCUUUCAUAUUAACAAAGUUUAAUUUUUCUUGUCUGAGGGAUUUAAGAAUUAUAUUUAGUAUUUUUGCAGUCAAUGAAUGUGUCACCACAUGUAUUGAACUUUUGCUCAAAUUCAUCAAAUGGAACUUCAAAAACCAACAACUUGUUUAUGCGAAACCAAAAGAUUGAAUAUUUCCUGGGUGGAUUUUUGGGAACUGAUCACACACACACAAGAAAUCUCCAUCAAGCUAGCUGUAUUCUCAGUGAAUAUUUCCUAGGUGGAUUUAAGAGUGCUUGUGGUCAUUCAAUAAGGUUAAUAAAUUGUCUGGAGGAAGCAGUAAAAUGAUCCUCUAAGUGUGAUCAUAUACAGCGGUGUGCUUGGAAAUAUUCAAAGUCUUCCCAAUGGGGAUCUUGAUUUAUAUGUAAUGCUAGUGUUCACAAUAUUUAUCACAUUGACUGCUGAAUUCUUUUGGAAGUAUACAUGGAUGUGGCAUUCAUGAGUAGUUAAAAUCAGUGUUUUCAGGGGGCCUACGCCAAGCUUCCAAGCAACAGCAAUGUGGAGAAGACAGCGUCCAAGUCUCUAUUAAUUAAAUUCAUGCGACACUUGUAUUCAGCAUGACGUCUACAAAGGAGGAAAAAACCCUGUGAACCUGUGACAUGAAAAUAUUCAUUAAUUUUGCUAGAUAACUAGACUAAUUACCUUCAACUUUUGAGAGAAGACUUUGCUGGGUUACUUGAAUUGAUUCUCAAGAACACUGAGGUUGAGUUAUUCCCAUUCUGUAUCUGCAAGUUGAGAAGAUCCGUCCCUAACAAUCCAAUCACCGAGGUCUUCAUUUGCCACCUUACAGAUUUUAUGUGCUCUUAUCUUUGAACAUGGCAGCCCCCAGGUGAUUAUCAUUUAUCUACACACAGAAAUUCUAAGACAUUUCUGUGUGAUCGCUGUAUGAUUAGAUUGGUCUGAAGAGUCAAUAGAAAUUGUUAAUGGUGGGCACGUUGUUAUUGCAGGUGGAUUUCCAAGCAUUUGACUUGGUCUGUACGAAUAAUAAACUCAAUUCUCACAUAGAGUCAUUGCAAAGAGUAGAAGACUACUGCAUUUGAAUUUUGAAAGAAAUUGAAGAGGAAGAGCACGAACCCAGGUCUAGCUGAGGGAUGGCAGAUGGGGCUGUGUCGUUUCUUCUUCAAAAUCUUGAAGCUUUUGCAACUAGAGAAUGGAACUUGCAGGAACAUAUCAGGAAUGGAGUCCAUAACUUAAAAAGGGAACUGCGGAGCAUAGAGGCCCUGAUGAGGGAUGCUGAUGCAAAGAAAGAGCAUGAUCACCAAUUCAAAGUGUGGAUUCAAGAAGUUCGCACAGAAGCUUAUGCCAUUGAGGAUGUUCUUGACCUAUUCAGACUCCACCGGGAUCAAGAAUCAGUGUGGAGCCACUUGAAAAUGCGGCACUCCAUUGGCAACCUGAUACAGGAUAUUAACACAAGGCUCGUGAUCAUUAAGCAGACAAAGGAGAGGUAUCAGAUCAUGGUCUCCACUUCAAUUAGCGCUGAAACCAACGCAUACCUUAAUGUGAGAGUAGCUCCUUUGAUCAUCGGCAGGGGCGAUAACAUCCUGGGCAUCGAUGAGCCUAAAAGGAAGCUGGUUUCUUGGGCAUUGGAGUCGAAUCAGAAACUCAAGGUUAUGUUCGUGGUGGGGAUGGCUGGACUGGGGAAGACAACGCUCGCCCGCAGCGUGUACGAGAUGGUGAAGGAGCACUUUGAUUGCCAUGCCUGGAUCAUUGCUUCAAAGUCCAAAACCAAACCUGAAACUUUACGGAGCUUGUUGGAGCACCUUGGCUGUUCGACAGAGGGGUCCAACAUAGUUAUUCUGAUGCAUAGACUGCAAAAUUUUCUCCAGCCCAAACGGUAUGUUAUAGUUGUUGACGAUUUAUGGGUAAAAGAUGUGUGGGAAUCCAUUAGACUUGCCUUGCCAGAUGGUAACAACAAUAGAAUAAUUAUCACUACAAGAAGAGGCGAUAUAGCUAAUUCUUGUAGAGAUGAUGAUUCUAUUGAUAUCCACAAGGUUCAGCCACUGUCACCGCAAUGGGCUGAGCAACUCUUCUAUAAGAAAGCUUUCUCAAGAAAUGGCAGAUGUCCUUCAGGCUUGGAGGAAGUCUCCAAAUCCAUCUUACAGAAAUGUGAUGGAUUACCACUUGGGAUUAUUGAAAUCGGUAAGCUGUUGUGGGGUAAGCGUCAAAGUACAUACGAGUGGAAAAAAUUAGAUGAUAGCCUUGAGUCUGAAUUGAGAAGCGGUGGUGGCCUUUCAGAUAUAAUGAGAGUGCUUUCUGCAAGUUACAAUGAUUUACCUUACCAUCUCAAGUAUUGCUUCUUAUACAUGAGUAUUUUUCCUGAGAAUAAUCCAGUUAAGCGAAGAAGACUGAUUCGGCUAUGGAUAGCUGAGGGAUUUGUAACAGAGGAGAGAGGCAAGACUCUUGAAGAGGUGGGGGAAGAGUACCUGAAUGAGCUUAUUGGUAGGAGUCUCAUAAAGGCAAAUGAAAUGGACUUUGAUGAAAGACCAAUAACUGUUGGAGUCCAUAGUCUCAUGCAUAGGAUAAUUCUCUCGGUUUCACAAGUGGAGAACUUUUGUACUGUUUGUGCAGGACCAGAAGGAAACUUGGCUGACAAACCCCGACGCCUAUCCAUCCAGACGGGAAACUUUGAUGUGUCUCAGGACUUAACCUGUGUUCGAACUUUUUUCAGUUUCAGUACAGGUAGGGUAAACAUUGGUUCGAAUUUCAAACUAUUGAAGGUUUUGGACAUACAAAGCACUCCUUUGGAAAACUUUCCAAGUGCCAUUACAGAUCUUCUGCUCUUGAGGUACUUGAGUUUGAGGAAUACAAAUAUAAGGAGCAUCCCCAAAUCCCUCAGGAACCUACGGCACCUUGAGACCUUGGAUCUUAAGCAAACUCUGGUAAAAGAGCUACCCAAAGCAGUCCUACAACUUGAUAAACUUCGCCACUUGCUGGUUUAUGCCUACAAUAUGGGAAGUGUUGUAGAGUUUGAUGCCGUUCAAGGGUUCACUGUACCGAGAAAGAUCGGAGCAAUGAAGAAUCUGCAAAAGCUAUCAUUUGUAAAGGCGAAAAGGCAUAACAGAAUGAUACAGGAGCUCAAAAAUCUGACAAAGCUGAGGAAGCUGGGCAUUGUAGAACUAGCAAAAGAAGAUGGCAAUAGCUUGUGCCACUCAAUUGAGAAGAUGCCGGAUCUCCUUUCCUUGGAUGUUACCUCCCUUAGUAAGGGGGAGCCUUUGGAGCUUGAUGCAAUGACCAAUCCCCCGCGUCUUCUUCAACGCCUGUAUCUCAAAGGGCACUUGCAAAGGUUUCCAAAGUGGGUAUCUUCUCUACAUGACCUGGUGAGAAUACGCCUAAAAUGGUCCUUAUUGUCACAAGACAACCCAAUUGAAGCUCUUCAAGAUCUUCCAAACUUGAUGGAGCUGCAGUUACUUGAUGCAUACACUGGAACCCAGUUGGACUUCAACUCGGGAAAAUUUCAGAAGCUUAAGAUAUUAGACCUUGAGCAAUUGAAACAGCUGAGGUUUAUCAUAAUGGAAGAUGACACAUUGCCUUGCCUACAAAAGCUGAUCAUAAGGCAAUGCAAUGAGCUGGAACAUGUCCCCGUAGGCAUUGACGGGCUUCAUCAUCUCAAUGAGCUGCACCUCUGCGAUAUGCCUGAGAAAUUCGUGGCACUGCUGAAGAAAAGAGGCGGUGAACUUCGCCAUUUGCUUCACCGUAUUUUGCGUAUUCUCUCAUAUCAACAGGGCCAGUUGGUGGAAGAUCUUUCAUGACCAUAAAUGCUACAUCUGUGACAUGCACCAGUGGAACAAGAAUCAAGGUUUGUAUAACUACAUGGAUUCAUCGCUUGCUUCUUUUGGAUUCCUCAAAAUGCAUUGUCGUCAAUUCCUUUACUAGCAAUAUUACUGCAUGUUCCUAGGAAAUCAUGGUGGGAUAUCUAGCAUUUAUACAUAUCAAACAUCGAAUAUCUGUGGAGUCAUAUUUGAAACUGCCAUUGUUGAAACUACGCCGAGACUCGGUACAAGACAGUCGGAUUAUGGUUAGGUGUCAAGCCCCUGAGCCUUCCAAUUGAUUUUUAUUAUUCUUGUAUUGAUAAUAGUAUGAAGUUAGAAUCAAUUUUAUUAUAUUUCGCUUAAAACGUCGGAAUCAGUUUCACAUUAAGCUUGUAGGAUAGCGAACAAAUUGAAUAUCAAUUUACUAUAAAAAUCUUCUCUUUUUUUUUUUCAAUUUUUUUAUUUAUUUUAUACUUGUGUCUGGUUUGGUUAACAAAUAAUGACAUUAUGCCCACUUGUGAAUUUUUAAUAUUAUGUUUUUAUGAUUAUUUUAGAUGAUAUUAAAUAUAAUAGUGAUUUGCUUUAAUUGUUGGUUUGUUGAAUGCAUUCUUAUCCAAUUGUUUUUAUUUAUUUUCUCUAAAAUUUUUAUUACUUUAAAAUUGUUCUAUACUUUUUAAUUAAUUAAGCAGUUUAUUCUGCAUAUAGUCUGGUUUAAUCGAAUAAAAUACGAUGACGAAGUCCUCUAAGAAUCUUCUAUAAAAGUCAACUCUGCCCAAUCAAUUCUUUCACAGGGGAACAAUGGUUUAUUAAUGUGCAACUAGCGUUUUUAUAAAUAAAAUAUUCUUAAUUUCCUCUAAAUAUCAGAUUAGUGUUAGACAAAACCAAUAAUAAUAUUUUUAUUGGGAUUUUUCAAUGGCAUUAUAAAGUCACCAAUCAAUUAAUAAAAAAUGGUCAUUGAAGUCACCGUGAUUUAUUGAUUUAUUUAUUUUUACCUGGACAAUGAUCUUAAUUAUUGUUUUUUCUGUAUUAUUUAAGUAUCAAGUUUUUAACAAAAGAAACCCAAGGUUAUGGAUGGGCAUUUCUCAAUACUAGAGGUACUAGUUUUUUUAGGGAAAAAUAGGUAUAAAAAAAAUUUAAUAUUUGCUAAAUUUUGGAAAAGUUGAAUAAUAUUGAGAUUAGUACCUUGAAAAGUUAAAAUUAUUCAAACACAAAAUAAAGAAUAAAAAGUAUAUUAAUAAUUUGUUUAGUAAAUUUUAACAUUUCUUUUACUUGAAAUUUUUUUAAAAAAAAAUUCUAUAUAGGGCAUAUAAUUAGGAUUAGGUUUAUUAAUAAAUGAAAUGUUUUUCUUAGCUGACAAUGCAAUCAUGUUGACCCAUAAAUUUGCAUUAGAUUUAUGAGAAAACUUUGAAUUUCUUUAUUUUCUUUUACAUGGCACAAAGGUUUAUAUAGAUUGUCUUGAAGUAGCAGUAAAGUGAUCCUUUAAGUACCACAAAUACUUGUGAUUUGGAAAUAAUCAAAGUCUUCCCAAUUGGGACGACCCUAGGUUCCAAUACAUUAGCAUUGAUUUCUUUGAGUUGUAUAUGAUGCUUCUUUUCAUGUUAUUUACGACAUUGACUACUAGAAUCUCUUGCAGAUGCAAGUGGCAUUCAUUAAAAGUUAAGACCACUGCUUUCAAGGGUCCUAUGUCCAGCUUCCGAGCAACAACAAUACGAGAAUGGGAAUGGUAAUGGGGUGGAAUUUUCUUGAUGGGACAAAUUUGGGAUAAAUAUGAAUGAGUUCAACCAACAAAUUUGAGAUUUUUUGUUUUUUUUUUGAACCCAAAGUGGGUUUGGGUAUGAUGUUGUCCCAUCCCAUAUGUAAUAUUAAAUAAAAAUGAUUUUAAUACAUUUUUGACUUUUUUUAACAUAUAUCAAAUAUUUUUUUUUAUAAAGAUAAAUUAUACAUAUUUAUAAUAUUUAUUUAUUUGUAAAUUAUAUUUAUUUUUAAUACAAUUUAAAAGUAAAAAAAUUAAGAAAAAAUAAAAAAUAGACAGACAAGGUGAAUAUGAGAAUUUUCCUACAUCUGUUCUACCUAUUUAUUUAUUUUUUUCAUGAAAAUGAGAAUAAAUAUAAAUAAAUUGGACGAUAUUAAAAUAUGGGUGACCAUCUCAAACUUGCCCGUUACCAACCAUAACCGAGAAGAUUGGGUCAAUGUGGAUUUUUAAGCUCCUUUUUUGGUUUGGGUUUGCAAAAAAAGACCCAACCAUUUAUUCGUUUGGCCAUAUGAAGUUGAUGAAUGCAACACCUUAACUCGGAACAUGACAUCCAUCAAACUUAGGCAAUCUCUCGCGUAAAUUUUAAGAAAUCACAAUAACUAGGAAUUUUCAACUAUGAAAUUUCCAAAAGAUAGCAUCAUUUUACAUUGUUCUAAGGCCAGUGCCAAAGGGUUCAUGUAGAAUUUUCAAAAUGUUUUUGUCCUGAGAAAAUACAUUUUGGAUAUGUUUCGUACCCAGUAAAUUCCAGGAUGCACAUAAUGGAAAUAAAAUUGAAAAAAAGAAAAAAAAAAGUAAAGAAAAAUAAAAUAUAGAUUUAAGAUCAAUAAAUUAUGUUAUAUAUUUCUUCAAACUAAUUUCACUUAUUUUCCUUAUUAUCUAAAGAUUAAAUAAUUUUAAAAUACAUAAAUCUUUUAUUAACUUUCAUUAUAUUUGAUUUUUUUUUAUAUUUUUUAUAAUAAAAUUAAACAUGAGAAAAUUAGUUUUAUUAACAUUUUUUUUUCUUUUACUUUCCUAGAACCGAACAUAGUACUAAGAAGCUAUAGCUAGAAAUGCCAUGAUACCAUUUUCUUGAAAACUUCCAUAUAAUUAAUAUGUACAUGUAGAUUACCUACAAUUUUCAAAUAGACAAGUACUUGUGUGUUUCAGUUUCCAAAACUUUUAUUAGGAACUCAACUUAAGACUUUACUGAAUUCAUGGGAUUGUCAGAUUUAGUAUAGGAAGAAAUUUUCCAUUGUUGACUAUAAUCUAUAUAUGGUGACCAUGUGACAUUAAUAUAUUUAUUUAGAUAUAUAAAAAAAUAUUUGAUUAAAAGACUUAAAAUACUCUUUGUAAAACCAAGGUUUGGUUAAUCUUGAUUUUGAUGAUAAAAAUAAAAAAUAAAAUUAGAAUUCAUGAUUAUAUUUCAACUGUCACUAGACAAGAUGAUUUCUAGAGUGACAAUCACAAAAAUAAAAUUAAGUCAAAGAGAAAUCAAUAAAAAGAAGAAAACCUCAAAAAGAAAUGUUUUUCAAGACCUAAGCUCCAUAGGAUAUCUUUGUAAGGUUGUUGGUGCACCAAGUUUUUCAUGCAUUACAUUCUUUACUUAUGCACCAAAAUCAUUUAAGAAUUAUUUUGUUUUAAAUAUUUUAAAAUAAGAUGAUUUCAUGUUUUCAACUAAAACUUUGUGUCAAAUACUUUCCAAACUUGUUUAAAAUAGUUUUAAGUUAAAAAGAUGGUUAUUGAACCAAAAACGACUCAAUUGGUUGAGAAAUUUGCUCAAUCGGUUGAACAUAUUGAGGAACCAAUCAACCUGUUCAACUUAACUGGUUGAAGGGUGUAAAAAAACUCUUUCUCUUCCAGAACACUUAUUCGAUCGAUCGAUCGAGGUUGGACCUCAUCCGAUUGACCAAUUCAGCUCAAUCAGUUGAAAGGUGUAAAAAUCUUCUUUCUAUUCCAAAAUACUUCUUUGACUAGUUGAGGUUGGACUUCAUCUGGUCAAGUACUAGUUGAGGAGCGGUUGAGGUUCAACAGUCACCUGUCAUGCAUUAAAUGUUAAUGGCUAGUGAACCAGUCGAAUUGGAGCUCGAUCGGAUGAACUCGCAAUGACUAGUUAGACUUAUCUCCUCUAUAAAAAGGUUCCAAUCUUUAUUGUUUCAAGAGUUUAAUCUUCGUAACCCUUUCUUGAAUAUAUUUGAGCAUUGAAAGUGUGUUUUUUAGUGCACCAUUGUUCUAAAACUUGCAAUCAUUAAUGCACCAGUCAAUCCUAAUUUAUCUUGUAUCAUUUGAACCUAAAGUUUUGUACUAGAUUUUGUGAGAUUAUUUCUUAUCUUCAUUUGUAAAUCUUUGAGAGAAAUAAUCUAAGUGUGAGGUAUCAUUUAGGGAUAUUUAAGUGUGGGGUAUCACUUAGAAAUUCUUAAGUUUGGGGUAUUAUUUGAGGGAUUGUUCAAAAGUGAUCUAUCUCUUAAGGAUUUUAAAGGAUGAACCUAAAGUUCUGUACUAUAUUUUGUGAGAUUAUUUCUUAUCUUUAUUUGUAAAUCUUUGAGAGGAAAAAUCUAAGUGUGAGGUAUCAUUCAGGGAUAUUUAAGUGUGGGGUAUCACUUAGAGAUUCUUAAGUGUGAGAUAUCACUUAAGGGGUUGUUCAAAAGUGAUGCAUCUCUUAAGGAUUGUAAAGGAUGCUUAGAGCCAAAAGUUCAAGAGGGUGAAUUGGAACCAUAAUCCAAUUAUAUUGCUUGAAUGCUUGGUUUGAAAGCCUUGAAUUAGUAGAAUUUCAAACUUGUGAUUGAAACUGGAGGAGAGUGGACAGAGGCUAGGUUGCGUUGAACCAUUAUAAAAAUCUUGUAUUUGCAUUCUCUCUUAUAUUCUCUUUUAAUUUAUAUGCAAUUGUUUUUAUAUUAUUUAUUAUAUAAAUUACAUAUAAUUAUCUCUUAAAUUUACAUAAUUUAAAUUUACAAAAAGAGACCAUCACCCUAUUCACCAUUUUUAGAGUGGUUACCUUAGGUUGGAUUAACUUUUUUUUUUUUUUUAAUACUUUUGAAAUUGGAAAAAUGACGUUCUUUACUCAUUCCUUGAAAAAUAAAAAAAUGAUUCAUUUUGGAUGUUAUUCUUCUUUUUUAUUUUCUUAAAAAUGCCAUUUUCUUCUAUUUCCUAAUUUAUUUAUUUAGUUUUCACAUUUAGGAUACCAAGCUCUCUUUCUCCCUCUAAGUUUAUGCUUUCCAAUUUUUCAUUGAAUUUUUUUAGUGAAGUUCAAAUCCUUAACAAAGAUUAAUGGAUAAUGAUCGGUUGUAGUCCUCUCAUCUUUCUUUUUUCUUCAAGAUUCUUUAUAUUUUCCAUUUUCUCUUUAUUUCUUGUUGGAAUUUUUUAUUAGAGGGUUUUUUUUGAAAUUGUUAUUUUUAAAAUUUUUUGUAGUUGUUUUUUUGCAGGUUUUUUUUUCUUUUUGGUUAACGGUUUUUUGUUGAGGGUUUUUUAUUAGGGCUUCUUACAAUUUCAUUUACACUUCUACAUUGUUUUUGCUUAGGGUUUCUUGGUAGUUAUUUUCUAUUGAAAUUUUGGUUGGGGUCCGUUGCCAUUGUUUUUCAUUAGAGUUUUUUUUAUAGUUGUUUUAUCGAGUUUUAUUUUUUAUUUAUUUUUUUGCAUUUUCACUAAGUCUUAUAAUAAUACCCUCUAUUUUGUCCUUUUGGCACAUGAUACUCAAGUUAGCCAUCAUUCAUCCUUUAUUACUUGUUUGUGCACUUCACGGUCUUUUUUCAAGCUAUUUUUGAGCUCUCAUUGAUGGUCUACUGUGACUAUGUUUAUCACUAGUUUUUUGUAUUUUCUAUAAGAAACAUUUUGGAGGGAUUAGGUGGACCUUAACCUUGAUUUUAGUGACCAUUAAUUCUUAGUUUGUGAUUUUGUUUUUGGUUAAUUUAUAAUAUAUUUAGGCUUUUUUAAAACCUUUAAUGUCACUAGAUAAAUUCAUAAUUUGGAUUGACUAAUAAUAGAUUUCAUUUUUAAAAAAAAAUGUAUAAUGAAGGUCAACAUUGAAUUAAGAAAAAGUUUUUAUUUAUUUAUGAAUUUGAUUUAAUUUGAUCUAAUUAUUUUUGUUUGCAUUUUUUAUUUUUUAUUUUUAUAAAUUAUAGAACUUUAGAUAUCAAUCGUGAUUAUGAAAUAGGUAAAUUGAAAAUUGAUAUAUUAUGGCCACUGAACAUAGGCCCUAAGAUUUUUCAUGCUAUAAUAAUAUUUCUUUUAAUAUCUCAUAAAUCGUAAAUUAAAAUGAAAAUAAAAUUAAGAUUGGAGUUUAUUGAAGACAUCAAAUUCAUGCUUUAAAAUAUAUAUUAAAAUGGGUCGUUUCUUUUAAUAAUAAUCAUACUAAAACAUUUUUUUUUUUUUUUUGCUUUAAUGUCUUACAAGCCACCAACGGCCAACCAGCUGUACCCAACCUUACCAACCGUGAGCCUAGCCUUUUUCAACCUAUAAAACCUAGCCCUUUGUAGCAUUGGGCCAAAAUGACCCAUGUAUUAAAAAAAAAAAAUUAGAUGUAACCAUUUUAUGAAAUUUAUAUUCAAACUAACAUCUUUGAUGCCACGAGGACUCAUGUCAUAAAAAUAUUUUUUUUUUCAAAAUUUUAAUUAAAACCUCAAUUGGUAAUUGAGGUUUCAUUUUUGAACUGAAGUCGCAAUUACUAACUGAGACUUCAGUUAUUGAACUAAAGUCACAAUUGUCAAUUGAGGUUUUAGUUAAAAAAUAAAGUUUCAAUUGACAAUUGAACUAAAGCCUCAAUUGACAACUAAAACUUCAUUUUUUUUAACUAAAACCUCAAUUGUCAACUAAGCCUUAGUUAAUUUUUUUUAACUUUAAAAUUUAGUUAAAAAUUAUUAAAUUAUAGUUUAUUAUUAAAAUUAGAAAUAUAUAUUUUAAUAAUAAAUUAUUUAUAUUUAAGCUUAAAAAUCUAAUAUUACUUCAACAAAUAUAAAUUGAUAGAUAAAAGAUAUUAUAAAUGAAUAUUUUAUUUAUUAAUAAAUUAAUAAUAUUAAAAUAAUAAAUUUAUAUAACAUAUAAAUAAGAUAUAAAAUUGUAUAAUUUAUUAAUUUAAGAUUUUUUUUUAAAGAUAUUAAUGUAUUUGUAUUAUGUUAAAUUUAUCCAUAUGUUCUCUCAUUAUGAAAGCAUAUGAGGUCAUAUAUGUUUUUUUUUUUUCAGCAUAUAAAUGUUUAAUGGGUAUUUUUUGUGACUUUGAUAAAACAACUAAAAAUUAUAUUUUGUAGUAGACUUUUUUUAACUAAUUUUGUCAAAAAAUCUAUAUAUAAAAAUUUAAGAGUAUACUGUUAUUUCAAUAAAGAUAAAUUUCUUAUAAUACAAAUAAAUCAAUGUCUUAAAAAACAACAAAUUAAAUAUCUUAAAUUAAUAAAUUAUAAAAUUUUAUAUCUUAUUUGUAUGUCAUAUAAUUUUAUUAUUUUAAAAUUAUUAAUUUAUUGAUAAAUAAAAUAUUUAUUUAUUGUAUUAUAUUUAUCAAUUUAUGUUUAUUGAAGUAAUACUAGAUUUUUAAGUUUAAAUAUAAAUAAUUUAUUAUUAAAUUAUAUAUUUUUAAUUUCAAUAAUAAGUUAUAAUUUAAUAGUUUUUAAUUAAAUUUAAAAGUUAAAAAAAAAUAUUAACUGAAGCCUCAAUUGGCAAAUACACCUUAGAAGUAUACUAUUAUUUAGAUAAAAAUAAAUUUGUCAUAAUACAAAUAAAUUAAUAUCUUAAAAAAUAACAAAUUAAAUAUCUUAAAUUAAUAAAUUAUACAAUUUUAUACCUUAUUUAUAUGUUAUAUAUAUAAAUUUAUUAUUUUAAAAUUAUUAAUAAAUAAAAUAUUCAUUUAUAAUAUCUUCUAUUUAUUAAUUUAUGUUUGUUGAAGUAAUAUUAGAUUCUUAAGUUUAAAUAUAAAUAAUUUAUUAUUAAAUUAUAGAUUUUUAAUUUCAAUAAUAAAUUAUAAUUUAGUAGUUUUUAAUUAAAUUUAAAGUAAAAAAAAAAUUAAAUGAAACCUGAAUUGGUAAUUGAAGUUUUAGUUCAAAAAUGAAGUUUCAGUUACCAAUUGAGAUUUCAGUUAAAAAUAAAGUUUCAAAUUGCGGUUUUAGUUCAAAAACUAAAGCCUCAAUUGAUAAUUACGGUUUUAGUUUAAAAAAGAAAUCUCCUCAAUUAUCAAUCUAGGUUUUUAUUAAAAGUUAAAAAAUAUAUAUAUUUAUAUGACAUGAAACUAAAGAUGCUAGUUCGAAUAUAAGCUGGAUAAAGUGGUUAGAUGUAAUAUAUUUUUUUUAAUAAAUGGGACAUUUUGACCCAAAACUCUUGAGCUGCAACCAGCCAUACCAAAGACACCCUGCACUAGCCGUCCGUAAUCCUCUACUGCAGCUUCGUUUUAGCUGCCCGAGGCGUCUCAAAUCAGCCCCAUCAAGUUGUCCACUCUCCCUGCUAUGAGCUUGGAAAUAAUCCAAGUCUUCCCAACCGGGAAGACUCUAGCUAGCUUCCAAUACGAAGACUCUAGCUAGCUUCCAAUACAUCAAUACUGAUUUUCUUGAGCUGCAUGUGAUGGUUCUUUUCAUAUUAUUAAUUAACGCCAUUGACUGGUCAUCUUCCCUGACAAUUCAUCAGUUAAAAUCACUGGUUUCAAGGGUACACCCAGCCACCAAUGCAAUAGCAAUACGGAGAAGACUGGGUCCAUGUGAGUAAUUGAUAGGCUUUUUUUUUUUUUUUGGUUUUGGUACGCAGAAAAAGAGGAGUUUUGGGUCAAAAUGCCGUAUAUUAAAAAAAAAAAAUAUUACAUCUAAUUAUUUUAUGAAACUUAUGUUCAAAUGCUUUGUAGGAAUCAUGUCAUAAAUUUUUUUUUUUUUAAAUUUUAGUAAAAGUCUCAAUUAAUAAUUAGGGUUUCAAUUUUGAAUUGAAAUUGUAAUUGUCAGUUGAGGCUUUGGUUUUUGAACUAAAGCUAUAGUUGUUAACUGAGACUUCAUUUUUUAACUGAAACCUCACUUGACAAAUACUUUAUUUUUAAACUAAAGCCUUAAUUGACAAUUAAGACUUUUUAUUUUAUUUUAAAAUUUAGGUAAAAGCUAUUAAAUUAUAGUUUAUUAUUGAAAUUAGAAAUAUAUAUUUUAAUAAUAAAUUAUUUAUAUUUAAGCUUAAGAAUCUAGCAUUAUUUUAAUAAACAUAAAUUGAUAGAUAGAAGAUAUUAUAAAUGAAUAUUUUAUUUAUUAAUAAAUUAAUAAUAUUAAAAUAAUAAAUUUAUAUAACAUAUAAAUAAGAUAUAAAAUUGUAUAAUUUAUUAAUUUAAGAUAUUAAUUUGUUGUUUUUUUAAAGAUAUUAAUUUAUUUGUAUUAUGUCAAAUUUAUUCAUAGGUUCUCUCCUUGUGGAGGCAUAUUAUGUUAUAUAUGUUUUUUUUUUAGCAUAUAAAUGUUUAGUGAAUAUUUUUUAUGACUUUGAAAAAACUACUAAAAAUCAUAUUUUUUAGUAGACUUUUUCUAACUAAUUUUGUCAAAAAGUCUAUAUAUAGAAACUUAAGAGUAUACUAUUAUUUCAAUAAAGAUAAAUUUUUCAUAAUACAAAUAAAUUAUUAUCUUAAAAAACAACAAAUUAAAUAUCUUAAAUUAAUAAAUUUUAAAAUUUUAUAUCUUAUUUGUAUGUCAUAUAAAUUUAUCAUUUUAAGAUUAUUAAUUUAUUGGUAAAUAAAAUAUUCAUUUAUUGUAUUGUAUUUAUCAAUUUAUGUUUAUUGAAAUAAUACUAGAUUUUUAAGUUUAAAUAUAAAUAAUUUAUUAUUAAAAUAUAUAUUUUUAAUUUCAAUAAUAAGUUGUAAUUUAAUAGUUUUUAAUUAAAUUUGAAAGUAAAAAAAAAGCCUCAGUUAACAACUACGGCUUAGGAGUAUACUAUUAUUUCGAUAAAGAUAAAUUUAUCAUAAUACAAAUAAAUUAAUACCUUAAAAAAUAACAAAUUAAAUAUCUUAAAUUAAUAAAUUAUAUAAUUUUAUAUAUUAUUUAUGUGUUAUAUAAAUUUAUUAUUUUAAAAUUAUUAAUUUAUUAAUAAAUAAAAUAUUUAUUUAUAAUAUCUUUUAUUUAUCAAUUUAUGUUUGUUGAAGUAAUACUAGAUUCUUAAGUUUAAAUAUAAAUAAUUUAUUAUUAAAGCAUAGAUUUUUAAUUUCAAUAAUAAAUUAUAAAUUAAUAGUUUUUAAUUAAAUUUUAAAAAAAAAAAAUUGAAGCCUCAGUUGAUAAUUGAGACUUUAAUUCAAAAAUAAAGGCUUCAGUUAAAAAAUAAAGUCUCAAUUGAUUAUUUCGAUUUUAGUUUAAAAACUAAACCUCAAUUGAUAUUUACGGUUUUAAUUUAAAAAUGAAACAUCAGUUACUAAUUGAGACUUUCAUUAAAAUUUUGAAAAAAAAUAUAAUUCUAUGAUACUACUUCUACGUGACAUCAAAAAAGUUGUUUGAAAAUAAAGUGGUUAAAUCUAUUUUAUUUUUUAUCCUGGGCCAUUUUGACCCAAAACUCGAAAAAGAGAGUCGGCAAUUUAUUUGUAUGGCCCACACGAAAUUGAUGAAUCCAUCGCCUUAGAAAUAUGACAUCCAUCAAACUCAGGCAAUCUCCACCGCAUGAAUUUUAAAAGCCACAGCAAUUGGGGAUAUUCUACCGUGGAAGAUGGCAUCAUUUUACAUUCUACUGAGGCCAAUAUCUAUGCUUCGUGGUUCUCUGGAACCAAUCAUGUAUUGCCUUGAACCCUUGAGAGAGAACAUGUGAUAUGCCCACGUCUUUUUAUUUACGCACAUUCCUACUACUUUUCUUUGUUUUUAUUGUAUAAGGUUGGAGGGUGGUCUAUGUAUUGACUCGGUAUGUAUGCUUGACUACAAACUCGAUGGUAGUUCAUAUGAGUGGAUCCUAAUAUUGUUGCAGCAAUUUGCCGAUUUCAGAGAAAAGAGAGAGAGAGAUAAUGGUCGACCCAGAAAUAACUGGAGGGAUUGCAGCGAGUACUUUGAGCUUUCUUCUAGUAAAACUCGAUGCUUUUGCAAUUAGAGAAUGGAAAUUGCAGGAAAAUAUCAAAAAGUCUGUCCAAAAUUUAGGAUGCGAGCUGAGGAACAUUCAGGCCAUGCUGAGAGAUGCUGAUUCAAAGGAAGAGCAUAGUCACCAAUUUACGGUCUGGAUUAAAGAGGUCCGCGAUCAAGCUUAUGCAAUCGAGGAUGCUCUUGACCUGUUCAAACUCAAACAAGAAUCAGUGUGGCGCCGCCUGAAACUGCGUCACUCCAUCAACGACUUGAUACAGGAUAUUGAGCGGAGUCUCCAAAACAUUCAGCGGACAAAGGAGAGGUAUCGCAGCAUGGCCUCCUAUUCAACCAAUGCUGGCAACAACACAUACCUUCAUGUGAGAGUGGCUCCUUUGUUCAUAGGUAACGUUGAUACCGUGGGCAUUGAGGAGCCUACAAAUAAGCUGGUUUCCUGGGCCUUGGAACCGAAACAGAGGCUUGAGGUGAUGUUUGUGGUGGGGAUGGCUGGACUGGGGAAGACCACUCUUGUCCACAGCGUGUAUGAGAGCGUGAAACAGAACUUUGAUUGCCAUAUCUGGAUCACUGCUUCAAAGUCCAAAACCAAACUCGAUAUCUUACGGACCUUGUUGGUGGAGAAAUUCGGCUGUACAAUCACACAGGGGGGCGAUGUGGUUGCUCUGACGCAUAAGCUGAGAAAAUUUCUCCACAACAAACGGUAUGUCAUAGUUCUUGAUGACUUAUGGGUAAAAGAUGUUUGGGAGUCCAUUAGACUUGCCUUGCCAAAUGGUAAGGACAGUAGAAUAAUUAUCACUACAAGGAGAGGCGAUAUAGCUAAUUCUUGGAGAGAUGAUGAUUCUGUUGAUAUCCACAUGCUUCAGCCACUGUCACCGGAAAGGGCUGAGAAACUCUUCUAUAAGAAAGCUUUCUCAAGAAAUGGCAGAUGUCCUUCAGGCUUGGAGGAAGUCUCGAAAUCCAUCUUACAGAAAUGUGAUGGAUUACCACUUGGGAUUAUUGAAAUCGGUAGACUUUUAUCCAUCAAGGCUCCAACUAAAAAUGAGUGGAAAAUAUUACAUGAUAGCCUUGAGUCUGAAUUGAGAGGCAGUGGUGGCCUUUCAAAUAUUACGAAAGUGCUGUCUGCAAGUUAUAAUGAUUUACCUUUCCAUCUCAAGUAUUGUUUCUUGUACAUGAGCAUCUUUCCUGAGACUAGCCCAGUUAAGCGAAGAAGGCUAAUUCGGCUAUGGAUAGCUGAAGGGUUUGUAAUAGAGAAAGGAGGCAAGACAUCUGAAGAGGUUGGGGAAGAGUAUCUGAAUGAGCUGAUUGACAGGAGUCUGAUAAAGGUAAAUGAAAUGGAUUUUGAAGGAAGGCCAAAAAGUGUGGGAGUUCAUAGUCUGAUGCUGAAGAUGAUUCUCUCAGGUGGUGUUUGUUUUUUUGGCUUUUUGCUGAAAACCAUUUAGUUUUAGAAUUUAGGUUGUUUGUUUUUUUACUUUUUCAUGACUUAUUAUAAACUUUUUACUAAAUAGAAAAAGCUAAAAUAUGUGGCUUUUUCUAAAUAGAAAAAAUAACACAAUGAUUUUUUUUACUUUUUAAUACUUAAUAGAAAUAAAAUACUACAAAAACAAACAACCUAAUAUUUAAGACUAUUAAGUAUUAAGGUUCUAUUUAGAAUUAAGUAAAAAAACAAACACCACCUCAGUCUCACGAGAGGAGAACUUUUGUUCUGUUUGUACAGGAUCAGAAAGGAACUUGAGUGAGAAAACCCGGCGCCUAUCUAUUCAGAAGGAAGAUUUUGAUGUGUCUCAGGACUUACCCUGUGUUCGAACCUUCUUCAGUUUCGGUAUAGGCAAAGUAAAGAUUGGUUCCAACUUCAAACUAUUGAAGGUCUUGGACAUACAGGGCACUCCUUUGGAAGAAUUUCCGGGUGUAAUUAAAGAUCUUCUGCUCUUGAGGUACUUGAGUUUGAGGAAUACAAAUAUAAGGAGCAUUCCAGGGACCCUGGGUGACCUUCAUCACCUUGAGACCUUGGAUCUUAAGCAGACUCUGGUAACAAAAGUACCCAAAGCAGUCCUACAACUUGAGAAACUUCGCCAUUUGCUGGUUUAUCGCUACAAUAUGGAAAGUGCCCUACCUUUUGAUAUUGUGCAGGGGUUCAAGGCACCAAAGAGGAUCGGCGCAUUGAAGAACCUACAAAAGCUGUCAUUUGUAAAGGUGAGUGGGCAGCACAGAAUGAGUCGGGAGCACAGAAUGAUACAAGGGCUCGACAAUCUUACGCAGUUGAGGAAGCUGGGCAUUGUAGAACUAGCAAAAGAACGUGGGGCGAGCUUGUGCCUCUCAAUUGAAAAGAUGCCAAAUCUCCACUCCUUGAAUGUAACCUCUCUUAAUAAGGAGGAGCCUCUGGAGCUUGAUGCAAUGACCAAUCCACCGCCCCUUCUUCAACGCUUGUACCUCAAAGGGCCCUUGAAUAGGUUUCCACAGUGGGCAACUUCUCUACAUGACCUGGAGAGAAUACGCCUAAAAUGGUCUUCACUCACAGAAAACCCGAUUGCAGCUCUUCAAAACCUCCCAAAUCUGACAGAGUUGCAGUUGCUUGAUGCAUAUACUGGAACCCAGUUGGACUUCAACUCCGGAAAAUUUCCGAAGCUGAAGAUAUUAGACCUUCAGCAAUUGGAACAGGUGAGGUCUAUCAUGAUGGAAGAAGGCACAUUGCCUUGCCUACAGAAGCUGAUCAUAAGCCACUGCAGCAGGCUGGUGCAGGUCCCUAGAGGUAUUGACAAGCUCAUUCACCUCCAAAUGCUGCUGUUGUACGAUAUGCCCGGAACAUUUGUGACCGGGCUGAGGAAAAACGGUGGUCAAUUUCGCCGUUUGGUUCACCAUAUUCCAUGUAUUCAUUCAUAUAACCAGGCCCAGUUGGAAGAUCUUUCUUGAUCAUUAUACAUCUACGAGGAAGAAUCAGGUCUGUAGAACAACCUGAAUUCAUCGUUUCCUUCUUCUAGAUUCCCCAAAACGUACUGUUGGAUUGCUAUUUCUUUUCUAGGAUUACUGCAUUUUCCUAGGAAACUAUGUAUGGUGCAAUUGAGUAUGAAAUUAUGUCCUCAAUCAAAGGUAUCAUUUUACUAUUAUUUUACAAAGGUAUCAUUUUAUUUAUACGAUGAAGACAUUUGAUUAUACAUAUUUACUUUUUUCUAAAAUUUUAUUUAUUUUUAGUGUUUUUUUAUUUUUUAUUUUUAGCUUUCCAAGUAAUAUGCUCAGCAUAAAAUUCCAUAUUGAUCUAAAAUGAGCCUGAUGGGUCUAUAUAAAGAUCUCUCAUGUAAAAGAUCAAUUUACAAGGAAUACUGGUUAUGUUUGAAAGUAGUUUUAUAUUCUUUAAAAAUAUAAAACAGUUUUUUUAACUUAAAAAACGCUUUCAUCUUGAUUUGAUAUAGCAUGAUGGGUUUAUCUAAAGAUCUUUCGAGUCAAACAUCAAUUAGAAGGAAUAUCGGUCAUGUUUGAAAAUAGUUUUAUAUUCUUUUAAGAAGAUAAGUUAAACAGUUUUUUAACCUAAAAACUAUGAUUGAAAAUUUUCAGGAAUUUGUAGAGUUUGUUUAAAAAAUAAUUUGUUUUUUUUAUAUCUUUAAGAAUUCUUUUCAAAAAAAAAAAUCUCUAAAUCUUAAAACAUCCCUCUAGCUUAAAGAUGACUUUUAGAAAAUUUUACAACUUUUCCUAAUAAAGUCUAGUUCAGAACAUCCAGAAGAGUUAUAUGUAUUCUUCAUAAUCAAAAGAUGUCCGAGAAUCACUUUUAAUAUAAAAAACGUUUUUCUAAAAAAAUAAAAUGUUUCACAAAAUUCAAAAAUCAUUUUUAAAAAAUUGAAGAAUUGUUUAGAGUGUUUUUUUUUUUAAAUUUUUUAUAAAUGUUUAAUAAGUGAUUCUCCUAAAAACUCUUUAAAAAAAACAUUUAAGUAAAAAUUCUUCUGAUAAAAAUAUUAUCAAACAUACUCUAAUUCCUUAUGCUUGAAGCUUCCAAUGCAAUUCAUUGAAAGUAUUUUCCAUAUGACUUCUCCACAAAAUAUUUCUUUAAACUUAAAACUAAAAGUCAUAUUUUUAAAAAAAGAAAAAUAAAUUCUUGACAUGUAUAGGAUAUGAGAUUUUUGUUCUAACACUAGGUUAAAGUUAAGAAUGCAAAAAAAAAAACCUGACCAUUAAGUCAAAUUUAAAUCUUGAUUAAAAAAAAACCAUUAAAAUAAAUUUGCUCUACUUUGUCUCCACCCUCUUACAUUUCUUCCACCCUCUCCCCCAUCCUAUAGAUGUACCACUGUAGUAUUUUUGGAGAGGUUAACUUGCAAAGUAAGGAAAGCUUUUUUUUAAAGGACACUUCUCCACUUGUUUGUCCAAUCGGGAUAGAAACAUAAAAUUUGCUACCAAUGAUGAAGAAAAGUAAACAGAGUGUAAGAAAACAUUUCAUGUUUAAUCUAAAAAUUACAAUCCCAACAAAAAUAUAAAAAAUCAUGUCAAUCUGGUCAAUGGAAAAGGAAACAUAGAAGAACUUAUGAUGAUUCAGUUCUUCUAUAUGAUUCAGUUCUUCUAUGUUCUGCGUGUUAGUAUUGAUGUGAAUGACACGUCUAUAAAAUCUUAGCUACUUUAUAGAGAGAUUUGUUUAUACUAUCAUUUCAAUUUUUUAUUUUUGCAUAUUACAUUUUAUUGGGUAUUGAGUAUUGUUGUGAUGUUAUAGUAUUAGCAAUAUGUUAUUAUUUCAUAAUUAUACUUUUCUAUUUUGAAUAGUUUUAUAUUAAUUUAGCUUCAAUUUUUAUGAUAAUGGAGAUGAAGAAUAAUGAACAAUAUUAAAGAGAAUAUUAGCAACAUCCAACUAUAAGAACUAACUUGAGCAUUACAAGCAUUGUCCCCACUUGUCUUCACCUUUUAAAAAAGGUUAGAUUUUCAAGAAUCUCAACCCAAUAAUUAUGUUUUUUAGGUUGGGUAGCAAAAGUCAUACGGAGAGAGAAAAGUGAUAAAAAAAAGUUCACCAAUCAAAUGGAAAUAGAUUGUUAUUAUUACUGGAUUAACUUGGUCAUUAGAUUUAAAAUAGUACAUAAUAUCAUUGUGGAAUUUGCAUGCUUGGAAGGAAGAAGUCUUGUUCUUUCCAAAGGAAUUAAUGGGAGACAGGGCAAAAUGCCUGUAAGGAAAUGAUAGUAACUUUUGAAAAAGUGGGCUAUAAAGUAAAGGAGAAUUGUGAAAAAUUAAUAUUUGGUCCAUAUAAUUUUCAUAAUUGAUAGAAAUGAUAUAAGAUGUUAAAAGACCAACAUAUCUUUCAAAUUUCUAUACAUUACCUUUUUAAUUUCUAAAGUUUUACUAAAAAAUUGUACUGACAAUUUUCUUGUUAUGAAUUAAAAUACUUUGCAUUAGUCUAUCUGGAUAAGAAAAAUUAUUAAUAUAAUAUUAAAACUUCAUAUCUUAGUUAUUUUUUUCAAUAAAUUUAUCUUUUUGGAUAUAUAUAUAUAUAAUAGAGUAAAGUGAUAGUCAAUUUUAAAAUUUUUAAAAAUAUGGUUAAUGUAGAAAAUAUAAAAAAUAUUUCAAUGAAAAAUCCCAAAAUUUUUAUCAUUGCUUAUAAUAAGAGCAAAAAGAUUCAAUAUCUUUAAAAAUGAAAAACAAAAAAAACAUUAUUACUUUUUAUUUGACAUAAAAUAGAAAUAUAGAUUGGAAGAAAAAAAAAUUAGAAAUGAGUAAUACUUAAUAGAGAAUAGAAAAGGGAAAAAAAAACACAAAAAAAUUGAAAUUCAGACUUACUUGUACCUAUAUAAGGGUUAAGGGUAUUUUAGGGAUUAAUGAAGAAUAAUAUCUUUUAUCUUAAUUUUCAUACUUUGUUUGGGUCUUGGGCUUAAAUAUGCAUGAUAUAUGGACCAAAUGUUAAUUUUUGGGCCCAACUGGACCCAAAACACAAUUCUCCCAUAAAGUAACGUGAAUUUGAAAUAAUUGAUUUGGAAUCCUAUCACCUAGAAAAUGAUUACUCCUUGGGUUAUAAAUUAAAAUGAAUUUGAAAAAAUUCAUUGGAUUCUCAUUACUUUUUUAAAAGGCUGAAUUUGAGUUGACCCAAAAUAAUUUACUUCCAUCAAAAGUAAAUUAUAAGAAUAAAGGCAAGAAAAAAGAAAAUUGGUAUGCACCAUUUAUCUUUUUACUUUGGAUUGGAUAAAUUUUGUAAAAUCAUAUUUUCCUUUUACUAUAUUUUGUAAUGUUAAUAGCAACUAACUUUCAAAAUAAUGGAAAUUAAUUUGUAUAUAAGCUUAUUUGAGUACUUCCAUAUUUUUUUUAUAAUUGAGAAUUUUUUAAAGAUUUUUUUUAAGUAUUAGCUUUUAUAUUUAUUAUUAUUAUUUUUCAUAAAAUAAUAAAUUGUAAGAAAAGAGGAGAAGAACAAGAAGGAAAAUUUAUAAUUUUUUAAUUUAUUUAGAUAUUUAUAAAAAAUAAGAAAAAGAAAAUUAAAUUGUUGAAGCUUCCCAAGCUUUUUGACUGUUAUCUAACAAAUAAUAAUAAUAAUAAUAAUAAGGAACUUCCUUAAAGCAAUGUUAUCAAAAAAUAGAAUCACAUUAGUUAAGCUCAUUUUUUUCUAAUAUAAUAAUAGCAAUUAUAGUUACUUUUUUUUUUUUUUAUUCAACUUAUUUUAAAUAGGGCGUGUGCUUAUGCAAUUAUAUUUAUUUAUUUUUCUAGAAAGAUUAAUAUAUUUAUUUAUUUGUUUAUUGUGGUUAUCUCAAAAUGAUGUCUUAUUUUCUAUUUAAAUAUUGGUAUAUAUGAAAGAUAAAGUUUAAGUAUUCAUUAAUUACGAAUUCAAUUCAACUUACUCCAAUCCAAAUUUUACCCAUAUAACCCAAAAAGCUUGUCUAAUAUGUUAGACCCGUCCAAAUUAUAGUCUUAAUUUUAAAGUCAUAUUGAUUGGUUCAUCCGUUUAUAAAAACAUAGUUAAAUAAAAUUACUUGAAAAUGAAAUUAGUAUUUAGGGCAUUGUAUCAUAAACUUGUACAAAAAAUCCUUCUGAGAAUUAGAUUUUGGUACAGUUAGAUUUUGAAGAGUUUCAAGCCAAUCAAUUUUUUUACUUUUUAUUUUUGAAAGUAGGGUAGAUUGGAAUUUUGUUAUUUUUCAUUAAAAAAACUAAAAAGGCAAAGUGAAUGCAAUACAUUAAAAAAAAAAAAAAAACUUAAUCCUAAUUAUGAAAUCUAAACCUAAUAUUUAUUUAUUUGAAAUGGGUUAGGCGUUGGUGAAUAAUUGAACAUCAUGUGAAGGUUUUUAAUUCAACAUGUAGUGAUAUUGUCAUUUGCCCCCUUCUUUUCUAACAAAAUAAUUUGAUGGAGUUUAAUCCCGAUUAUGCUCGUUAGUAAUCUUAUAAUAUCUCAUAUUUGUGAUCAAAACAUAAAUAUUCAUAUUCAAAGUUUGUAUGAUACGAGAAAAUGAGAAGAAUUAUGGAGACAUGUUUUAAAGUUAGGAACCAAAAAAGAGUAAUUUGAAUUUGUAUUCUUGCUUUUCGUAAUAAUCAAUCCAUGCAUUGAACUCAUGUGUUCAAGAUUAAACUAAUCUAACCCUAUGUCCAAUCCAAACUAUCCGAUCCAAGCUCAACUUCUUAUCAUUCCCAUGACACUCAAAAGCAACAAUAUCAUAUACAAAUAAAUUGAAAUUUAUGUAAAAUAUAUAUCACGUUCAAAUUGGCCUUAGGUUGUCCAAAACCCAAACCCAAAGCCCAGUUUAAUUUAAUUAGAGCAAUAAUAAAAUAAUUCCAAUAAUUACAAUUAAUUUAUAGCAAUUAAAUAAAAAUUUCACAGGAGUAAAAAUUAUUUCCAAUAAAUAUAUUAUAAAGUCAUGUAAAAGUUGCUAGUUACCCCUCUAGUAAAAAGUAUACAUUUAUUUAUCCCACUUUAAAAAAAAUGAUAGUAGUGAAAUCCAUGAACAAAAUUUAAUUAUCAUAUUCUUAAAAAGCACCCAAGAUCCCAAACCAUGAAUUAUAUUUAGGGAUGAUAAUAGGGUGGGUUUAAGACGAGUCGCCCCAUCCCAACCCCGUCCCAUUUAUUUAAAAUAAUUUUCAUCCCCGUCUCAUUUAAAAAAUUAAAUUGGACAGGGCGGGCCGGGAUGGGUAUAAGCAACUCCCUGCCCCGCCUUCGUUUAAUUUUUUUUUUUAAAUUACUUUUAAUAUUUUAAUUACAUUAAAGUAAAUAUAUUUUAUAAAUAAUUAAAUUAUUACAUUUUUUAUGACUUAUUUUAUUAAAAAAUACUUUAUUAUUAUCUAUAGUAGAAUAAAAAUUAAUUUAAUUUAAUUUUAAAAAAUAAUUUUAUAUACAAUUGUAGGGUGGGAUUGGACAAGGCAAUACCUGAACUCAUCCCAAACUCAUCUUGGGUUUAAAAAAAAAAUUUCAAAUCCGUUUAGUUAAAAUUCAAACAUGUUCCAUUAGGGGCAGGAUGGGUACUCGAAAAACCCGUCCCAUUGUCAUUCCUAAUUAUAUUACACCUCUGUGAUCAAAUAAAUAAAAAGAUACGUUUAAUCACAUAUUUAAUUAAUUUUUUAAAAAUAAAAGAAGUUGGGUCGUUGGACCAAAGCACAAAAGUGAGAAGCGCAUAUCUGAGCCCAUUAAAUUUGGGCUUUAACAUUGCCAGUAUGUUAGCCUACAACAAAUUCAAACUCCAAACUCCAAACUCCACCGUCAGAUCCCCAGGCACCAUCUAUGCGUAUCUCUCCCUCUAAACAAUCUCCUCCAUUUUCACGCCAUGCAUAAAGCAACAAUCCCGAGAGAAAAUAGUCUCUCAUUGCUAUAUAUAUUGUCGGAGACUGAUUUUCUUGCCUAAUUUGGAUUUUAAAAUUUCAUGCAUCUCAUUUUGAUCACAAACCUGAGAAAAGCCCCAUAUAAAAAUAACACAAGUAUUACAAAAUAAAUAAGUAUUAAAAAAAAAAAAAGAAUUAUGAACAAAUCUCAAUAUCAAAUAUGAACAACAAACACUAGAUUUAGUGGUUCACAAUAAUUUUAGGUAUGUACGUCAACAUAAGAACGAUAAAGUACAACAAACUAGAGGAGUAGAAUAGAAUACUCAUUUUUCAUCCAAAAUGAUUCCAUCAAAGUAACAAAUUAUGCCAACCUUAUCAUUGAAGAAACCUAAAAGAACAAGUACUAGAAAGGUUGUGAGGAGAUUUGAGCAAUAAUUGUAGUGAACGAAAGUUGAUACUAGAUUUGAAUUCUACUUCUAUUUAAAAGCUAAAUGCACUUCCAUGGCAUGCAAAGAGAUUCCAAAAGCUUUAAAUAAACUGAAUGGUUCUUUGAAGCAUGAUUGAAGCUUCUAAAAGUGUCAAAAAUAGAGAUUCACAAAGAAUUUUGAAUUCAUUCUUCCUUUCUUAAUCAAACCCUCUCUAGGUCCAUAAGUUGUACUAAAGAGCUUUUGAAUGUCAACAAUGAAUGACAAGGUUAUGAAAUAUGAGGUUAUCUUCCACUAAAAAUCAUUCCAAGGAUAGUUUGAUUAAACUUGAUCCACACCUAUAAUGCCCCUAUAAAAAAAAAAAAAAAAUAGAAUUGAGUCAGUUUAAGAAUGAUAGCUCCUAUAUUGACAUGUAAACGGUACCAUAAAAACACUCGUAACACACCUUUCAUGCACAUCUUGAACAUGUAGAUCAAUCAUCCAAGAUUGGCUUCUCCCACUAUUUCAAACUAUUGAAGGUUUUGGACAUACAAAGCACUCCUUUAGGAAACUUUACAAGUGCCAUCAUAGAUCUUCUGCUCUUGAGAUACUUGAGUUUGAGGAAUACAAAUAUAAGGAGCAUCCCCAAAUCCCUCAGGAACCUACGGCACCUUGAGACCUUGGAUCUUAAGCAAACUCUGGUAAAAGAGCUACCCAAAGCAGUCUACAACUUGAUAAACUUCGCCACUUGCUGGUUUAUGCCUACAAUAUGGGAAGUGUUGUAACUUUUGACGCCGUUUAAGGGUUCGCUGUACCGAGAAAGAUCGGAGCAAUGAAGAACCUGCAAAAGCUAUCAUUUGUAAAGGCGAGAAGGCAGAACAGAAUGAUACAGGAGCUCAAAAAUCUGACAAAGCUGAGGAAGCUGGGCAUUGUAGAACUAGCAGAAGAAGAUGGCAACAGCUUGUGUCACUCAAUUGAGAAGAUGCCGGAUCUCCUUUCCUUGGAUGUUACCUCCCUUAGUAAGGGGGAGCCUCUGGAGCUUGAUCCAAUGGCCAACCCCCGCGUCUUCUUCAACGCCUGUAUCUCAAAGGGCACUUGCAAAGGUUGCAAAGUGGGUAUCUUCUCUUCAUGACCUGGUGAGAAUACGCCUAAAAUGGUCCUUAUUGUCCCAAGACAACCCAAUUGAAGCUCCUCAAGAUCUCCCAAACCUGAUGGAGCUGCAGUUACUUGAUGCAUACACUGGAACCCAGUUGGACUUCAACUCGGGAAAAUUUCAGAAGCUUAAGAUAUUAGACCUUGAGCAAUUGAAACAGCUGAGGUUUAUCAUAAUGGAAGAUGGCACAUUGCCUUGCCUACAAAAGCUGAUCAUAAGGCAAUGCAAUGAGCUGAAACAUGUCCCCGUAGGUAUUGACGGGCUCCAUCAUCUUAAUGAGCUGCAC